rnacentral:lncRNA from 1 species
CCCAGACCCAGAUUUAUCCCCGAGCCCCAUGGAGCCCAGGUGAGCCCUCAGCCAGGCCCAGUCGUGGGCUCCACCCAGCCCCAGGCCCACCCCCCGGAACUGCCGAGCCCCGGAGGGGCCCGUUCUGCGACCUUGGAACCAAGACCCAG